UUUCCGUAGGUGAACCUGCGGAAGGAUCAUUAAAAAUUGGACUCCAUUGGUGAGUUCAUUAAUAAUCCCUACCCUUUGUGAAUUUGUUUGUUUGAAUAAUUUUUUUUCCAAAAAAAAUUAUUGAAUGUCUUUCCUUGUUUUGGUGGAGUUUGUAAAGUGAAACCAGGCAGGGGAAUGGCAAACAAUAAUUAUUUUUGAAAAAGACCUUUUUUUAAAAUUAAACUUUUUGUAUUCAUUUGUCUAAAAUUAAUUUUUAUAAUAUAAAAACAACUUUUGACAAUGGAUCUCUUGGUUCUCGCAACGAUGAAGAACGCAGCAAAAUGCGAUAAGUAGUGUGAAUUGCAGAAUACGUGAAUCAUCGAAUCUUCGAACGCAUAUUGCACUUUUUUAGUUUACUAAAAAAGUAUGUCUGUUUGAGUAUCAGUAAAAUAUUCUCAUAAAAAACAUUGUUUUUUUUAUGGUUAUGAGUGUUUUACAACGAUAACAAGUUGUUUCACUUUAAAUUCUUUGUUAUCAAAAAAAUCAUUAAGAGCUAAUUUUAAAGAUUUUUUAAAAUUGGAUAAAAUUUUCCCGUAAAAAGGAAUAACCUAAACAAUUUUAAAAAAUUAAAAUUGGUUUGAUUUUUUUUGAAACCCAAAGGAAAAAAAACGAAAUUAACUUGAUCUCAAAUCAGAUAAGAGUACCCGCUGGACUUAAGCAUAUCAAUAAGCGGAGGAAAAGAAACUAACUAGGAUUCCCUCAGUAACGGCGAGUGAAGCGGGAAGAGCUCAAAUUUGAAAUCUUCAAGGUUUUACCUUGACGAAUUGUAGUUUAAAGAAGUGUUUUCUGUUGGAGUUUUGGUAAAAGUUCUUUGGAAAAGGACAUCAUAGAGGGUGAGAAUCCCGUAUUUGACCAUUAUCUCCAGCUUUGUGAUACACUUUCAAAGAGUCGGAUUGUUUGGGAAUGCAGUCCAAAAUGGGUGGUAAAUUUCAUCUAAAGCUAAAUACUGGCGAGAGACCGAUAGCGAACAAGUACCGUGAGGGAAAGAUGAAAAGAACUUUGAAAAGAGAGUUAAACAGUACGUGAAAUUGUCAAAAGGGAAGCGUUUGACACUAGUGUUGUUUUCUCGAAAAUCAAUUAAAAAAGGCCGGAUUUUGUGUUGUAUUGACUUUAUCAGCUUUCUGCACUCUUUUCUUGUCUUUUUUAAUGCACUUUUCGUUUAACAAGUCAACAUCAAUUUCUUUUGUUGUAAAAGGGUCAUUGGAAGGUGGCUUUCUUUUCGGAGAAAGUGUUUAUAGCCUUUGGCCUCUGCAAUCGGAGAGAUUGAGGUCUGCAGCGUAGAUCCUUCGGGGUUAGAUACAUUUGUGCUAAGUUAUAGCCUUUCAUAGACAACUUGUUGACUAUGAUCAGUCAUGUAGCUUACUCGCUUAUGCUAUUU
rnacentral:misc_RNA from 1 species